rnacentral:lncRNA from 1 species
GUUUUUGAAAGCCUUUCAUGAUCAUAGAGGUCUUCUGGCUAUUGCUGCUUUGGUUAUAUGGUGCAAACCAACUUUUGCUGUGAUGAGAAGCCAUCUCGGGAGGUUCUCUGCAGCCUGGCUGACCAGCAGCUUGGCUGAACAUCCUAAAAGCAGAAAGAGGAAUGAGCAGCUGCUAAGUGCAAACCUCAGAGAGAAAUCACUGUCACUCACUAAAUAAAGCCGGCUUUCUUUGCGGCUGACAUAAUGGAUGUUUUUCUCAAACAUCAACAGAUUUUUGCUUUCGGUGGGUUGAAAACAUAUAUUCUUCAAACAGGGAUAUGUUGUUUGUAUUUAACUGGGCAGCUCUAGCAGCUGUGAAGGCAACCACCGGUGCCGCCGCCUUCUUUCUGCAAAAAUAAAAAUGCCAGCCGAGGAGCGGCUUGAAAUUGCAGUAGGAAGCAGUGCCGCCUUCCUCAGGGGCAGCCCCGGGAGGGAAGCGGGGAGCUGCGGUGGGCCAGGCUCCCACCUCCCACCCGCCGGGGGCUUACCGGGCGGUUUGGCGAACCUUUUCGCCGGGGGACGGGGAGGCUAAGAGAGGGGACCAGGAGGCAGCGACGGGGAGAACGUGCUAUGUAUAGGCGCCGAGCUACAGGUGCCGUCAACUAGCACGGUUUCCUCCGAGCCCGGCAGCUCCGCCCGUGCACCCCCCUCCCUCCAUCCCCGCCCCAGGGGCUGCCGCGGGCGGAGUGGCGGGGGGAGGACCGGAGGAGGCAGGGGAGCCUCGGGGCCGGCCGCUGCCAGCCUCUGCCAGUGCCUCCAACAGUACCUCUAACCCUGGUCCGGAGGAUGCUGCUUGCCCUUCUCCAUCGCCCCCGUGUGAGGGAGCAGCGGGUUGCUCUCCCGAGAGGCUGGAGGGCUCAGCGACCGGCAGCGGACACGAUAAGCAGAGCGCGUUUUAAGAAUAACUUGGUGGUACCAACGAAGGGGUGGAAAUGCUUGUGUUUGCGGUGGCAGUCCUUCUCCUGUCUCUCCCUCCUUCUCCUCAAUGUGUUAGUGCCUAUCCUAAGCAAUAAGAAAAAAAACAGAUCCUGGCCAGGUUGUAUUUCCCAAAAUAUGGAGCAGCAUGUGGAAAUCAUGAAAAACAAAACACAAAUUAUGAAAGAGCCGAUGUCAGGAAGAACUCAUCUGCCUACAUUACAGGUGCAACAGAGACUGAUUUGCAUCAAGUAUAUGCUGAAAAUAAGUAAGGAGACUUCUGUGUGA